rnacentral:rRNA from 1 species
UACGUAGGGCGCAAGCGUUGUCCGGAAUUAUUGGGCGUAAAGAGCUCGUAGGCGGUUUGUCGCGUCUGCUGUGAAAACCUAAGGCUCAACCUUGGGCUUGCAGUGGGUACGGGCAGACUAGAGUGCGGUAGGGGUGACUGGAAUUCCUGGUGUAGCGGUGGAAUGCGCAGAUAUCAGGAGGAACACCGAGUGGCGAAGGCAGGUCACUGGGCCGCAAC